rnacentral:rRNA from 1 species
CCUACGGGGGGCAGCAGUGGGGAAUAUUGCACAAUGGGCGCAAGCCUGAUGCAGCCAUGCCGCGUGUGUGAAUAAGGCCUUCGGGUUGUAAAGCACUUUCAGCGGGGAGGAAGGCGGUGAGGUUAAUAACCUCAUCGAUUGACGUUACCCGCAGAAGAAGCACCGGCUAACUCCGUGCCAGCAGCCGCGGUAAUACGGAGGGUGCAAGCGUUAAUCGGAAUUACUGGGCGUAAAGCGCACGCAGGCGGUCUGUCAAGUCGGAUGUGAAAUCCCCGGGCUCAACCUGGGAACUGCAUUCGAAACUGGCAGGCUAGAGUCUUGUAGAGGGGGGUAGAAUUCCAGGUGUAGCGGUGAAAUGCGUAGAGAUCUGGAGGAAUACCGGUGGCGAAGGCGGCCCCCUGGACAAAGACUGACGCUCAGGUGCGAAAGCGUGGGGAGCAAACAGGAUUAGAUACCCUAGUAGUC